UGAUGGUCGGUGUUACUUCCACGAGAGCUUUACUCGAAUCAGUUGUCAAAAAUACAACAAUACACAUAAACAGUUGUACAAAACAGUGAACCUAAAGUGCAUUAAGACAUUAUUUAAAUAAAAAUACAAAACACGCCUUUCAUGUCCACAUGUUCAAAUUAUGGCUAAACACAAGCUAGCUGUUCUGGUUUUCAGUACAAUGCGAGGACCUGCACGUGCGCACGCGUGCACACACACACGACAAAACUUACUUACUUAAAAACUAUCAGAAACAAAAUAUAAGUACAUUGCAAUAUGUCAGCAAGUUAACAGAGAUAAAACAGUCGAGUUGAACAUGCACAACAUACCUAUAUAGAGGAAAAAUAAGUCACAAGCAUGCCGGUCGGUGUUACUUCCACAAGCGCUUUACUCGAAUGGAACAUUACCGCUUUUCCUCCAGGUUUGUGGGCAGAGACUAAAGCAAUCGAUCCCAGAGUGCAGGAUUCAGACCAUCCUAAUAGAUGACUGAUCAGCGUUAUACUUACUUGAAUCAUCAAUGCACUUAACACAUAAAAAUGGAACAACAGCGAAAAACAAAUACUCUUUUAACUCUCUUUUUUAAACACUUGACUAUUUAACUUGUUACACUCUCCCCUACAAAAUAAAUGUUGUCUUGACAUUAAAUCAAUCAAAUAAUUGUCCUGUAAACGGUCUCUCAAGAACUUGACACUAGAAAUCCUCUUCUGUAAGGUGGUACUUAGGUCAAAGGUCACAGUUCAAAUAUGUUCAACAAUCCAUAUUCACAGUCCAUAUCUGUUGACUGGCUACUGUAUAAACAGUCCACAAAGAGUCUUUGCACAUACUCUUGAUCAACAGUCCAUUGGCUUCAAUGAUCUGUGCAGUCUGCAAAUUCAAAGUUCAUUUCAACAGCCCAUGAAAACAGUCUAUGAAAACAGUCCAUUAGUAGUUCAUGGUUCUAUUUCAGUAUGUCACUUCUGUAAACACAUUUGCUGAAGUCCAUACAUACAGGGUGGCUGAAGGUAAUAUGGCUGCAAGGGUGGCAACCAUGGGACCAGUCCUGGUGCAGGGUAGAAAGGCAACAACUGCGGCUGUGGCUGGAUACUAUAGCUAGAUACUAUACCCAGCUGAUCGUAGGUGAUGCACCUUGGCGGGUGUCUCUCUCUCUCUGUGGUAGCUGGUAGGUCGACUCCUCAGGUUCAGCAGCACUUGAUGCAGGAGAGGCAUCUGGUGAAUCAGGCAGAUUCUUUGCAGGUACGUUCAUCUCCUCAUCCGGCACGUUUUCAGGUGUGAUGAGCUCUUCCGGCUGAUCUCCACUGAGAGGCUGGGUUGGCAUGGCAACAGGGACUGCUAGUUCAACUUUCUGUUCUACUGGUUCAGGCUCAUGUUCAGGAUGUCUCUCUUGCGUAACAGUAGUUACUGCUGGUGGUAUGGGAACCUGAAUUGGCUCAUAAUGAAGGUCAUAUUCAUCUCCACUGUCUUCAUCUGAGUCUUCUGGCUGUGACACAUGCGUGUGCCUUCUUUUCUGUUUACUUUUGUCAAUUUUAUUUACUUCAGGCUGUGUCUCAAAAGGUAAGUGAUCACAGGACAUGAGCAGGUUUCCAUGCAGGACCCUGGAACGUCCCUUACCCCUUUUCUGGUCUCACUUCACAGAUCAGAUCCCAUUUGUCUCACCACUGUGUGAACUGUAUUUUCCCAGUAGUCAAGAAUUUUACCUGGUCCUCCUCUUGUUGUCAGGUUUUUGAUCAGGACCCACUCACCAAGCUGUAGCACUGAACUCCUCACUUUGUCUGGUUGACUGGAUCCUGACUCUGUGUACAGUCUGAACAGCAUGUCAACUGGAAGCCUAGGUGAUCUCCCAAACAGCAGAUAAAAUGGUGAGUAACCUGUCACUUCGCAACAGGUACAGUUAUAGGCAUACACCAGUUUGUUCAGAGACUCUUUCCAGUUCGAUUUCUGUGUUUCAGUCAGCGUCUUAAGCAUUUGCAACAAUGUUCUGUUCAUCCACUCCACUUGGCCGUUCCCCAUCGGGUGAUAUGGUGUUGUUCUGGACCCGGCCAUGCCAAUGAGUUUCUUUAAGUGAGUGAACAACUGAUUUUCAAACUCUCCCCCCUGGUCAUGAUGAAUGCGGGAGGGAAACCCAAAUUUGAGAGCGAAGUCACUGAAGAUGAGGUUUGCAGCAUUUUCCCCUGACUUUGACGUGGUGGCAUAUGCUUGAACAAAAUGGGUGAAAUGGUCAACAAUGAUGAGGAUGUACUCAUAUCCACCUUUGCAUCGGUCAAGAAGGAGGAAAUGAAUACAUACGAGUUCAAAUGGCUGUGUUGUCACAUUAUUUGUCAAGGGAGCUCUCACUUCAUGGCAUGGCUUUUUCUGCUUGAGACAGGUGCAAGCUUUUGUCACAUAGUGCUCAAUGUCAGAUUGCAUAUAGGGCCAGAAGAAGCGUUCACGUACUAGCGAUACUGUGCGGUCGGCACCUUGGUGUCCCAUGUCAUUGUGCAGCUCUUCCAGUACUUUUCCUUUGUACUGUUCUGGUAGGACCAACUGUUUGCAGGCUUUGGUUUUCCUGUACAGAAUGCCAUCACUGUCUACUGUCAGCUUUUGCCAUUCACUGAAGAGGCAUUUUGUCUUUGGGCUGAAUGUCUUUAACUCUCUAGCUAGAGGUUUGGAGCCUGACAGGUUACUAUCUAGCACAGGACAGAUGCAUGGGUCCGAUCUUUGUGCAUCUCUUAACUUAUCUUUUGGUAUAGGACUGACUGAUGCAGUGGUUAUCUCACUUUCGGUGGAGACUGACAUACAAAUGGCUGAAAAUGGCAGCGAUGGCAUCAGGUGGCAACUCCUCAGAACAUUCUCUCAUCAGUGACUCUGCAUCCAGUGGCAUCCUUGACAAAGCAUCUGCAUCACUGUUCUCUUUCCCUGGUCUGUACUUUAUCGUGAAGUGAAAAUCAGCCAACUCUGCAACCCACCUGGAAGUGGUUGCGUUCAGUUUUGCAGUGGACAGGACAUAUGUGAGUGGGUUGUUGUCACUAUACACAGUGAAGGUUGGAGCAUAGUACAGAUAAUCCCGGAACUUCUCAGUGACUGCCCAUUUUAAAGCUAGAAAUUCUAACUUGCCUGCAUGAUAGUGGUAGUUCUUCUCAGCUGCGGUCAACGGGCCGGAACCAUAGGCAAUGACUCUCAGUUUGCCAUCUUGUUUUUGAUACAAUACUGCUCCCAAGCCUUGAUAUGAUGCGUCAGUGUGUACUAAGAAUGGCUGAGUGACAUCAGGGAACCCUAAAACUGAUGGAUGGAGCAAACAGUCAAUCAGCUGUUCAAGUGCCUGCUGGUGCUGGUCGGUCCACGUGAUUGGCUUAUUUGAGGGCACAACAUGACUCAUUUUCUUUGUUUUUGGUUUUCUUGUGUUUUCAGGGACCUAAUUUGAAUCUGCUUUCAAGAGAUCAUACAGGCAACUGCCCUUUCUGGAAAAGUCUUUAAUGCACUGCCUGUAGUAGGUGAGUAACCCAAGCAUUUUUCUGAGCUGGCCCACAUUCGGUGGUCUGAUGACUUUCAAGGCACUAACUGCUUCAAAAUCUGCUGGAUCAACUCUACUUCCCUCUGUAGAGACUAUUCUCCCCAAAUAACGGACUUCAGGUUUAAAGAGGUCGCACUUACUUGGUUUGAGUUUGAUGCUAUAUUCUCUGAGGCAUUUCAACACUUUUCACACACCCUUCACAUGAUUUUCAAAGCUUUUGCUGAAGACCAGUGUGUCGUCCAGAUAAGAGAUGCAGAUGUCAUCCCGGAGUCCUUCCAAAUAUUCCUCCAUACAGCGUUGGAAAGCAGCAGGGACAUUCCUGAGGCCGAAUGGGAUGCAUAUCCACUCAGAGUCCCCAUGGAGUAACAAAAGCUGUCAUUGAUCUGCUCUCUUCAGAAAUAAAUCCCUGGUGGUAAGCUUUUCCCUGGUCCAGGAGAGAGAACCAGGAAUUACCACCCAGACUGUCCAUGAUGUCUUGGACCCGAGGGAUGGGCUGGCGGUCGGGAUGGGUCUUACUGUUAAGGUCUCUGUAAUCUAUACACAACCGAAGGGUGCCGUCUUUUUUUUCUCACACACACAACAGGGGAAGAAUACAACGAGUUCGACUUCCUAACCCAGCCCUGUGCUACUAGGUAAUGCAGGUAACCUUUCAUCUCCUGGUACAGUGGCCUGGGUACUGACAUGUAUGUGCAUUUGACUGGUUCUGGGUCUUUAAGAGAGAUGGCCAUUUGCAGUCUUUCGAUACAGUCAAUAUCAUUGUCUGAUCUUGAGAAGGAAUGACACUCUUCUCUGAGCAUUUAUCUGACUAUCUGUCUCUGUUCUUCUUUCAAGUGACUUACAUCUACAGGUGGAUCCCAAUUUUCACUACCAAUACAUGGGGACUGGAUGCUGGUGUGGUUCAUGGUGGCUGUUGUUGAAGCCUUUUCAAAAAUCUGGGCAGGUAACACAGUCAUUACUGUUUGUCCUGUGCCAAUUACAGUGCGCCCUGGCAAACAAUGUCGUGGUCAGUUGGGUUAGAAACAUCAACAAUGAUGACUGGAAAAACACCUUUCUUGACUCUGACUAGUGUGUCAUAGAACUCAAGAUCAUCUGGCCACUGAUGGGUCAGGUCUGGCUGAAACAACACGGUCAUGUCAUCUUUAAAAGGCUGGGCAGCUACACAACACUCAAUCUGAAUGCUACUGUGUUUUGGUACUGCACCCAUCUCUUUCUUUGUUUUCACUGCAUACUCAUCUACCUGUUCUGCACUAACAGCCUGUGUGAAAGCUCUCACCUUAUUUCUUUUGAGACUUGGGAAAGAUUUCUUCACAGUACUGUACUGUUUGCUCUUAUCAGUCUUUGCCAAGAUGUGCUCGAUGACAUUAAAACCUAUGAUGGGAUGGGACAGGUGACACCCCUUCGUCACAAGCAUUGGAAUCAGCAGUUCAUUGGCUUGGUUAGUUUCUGAGGUAAGCCGGAAGGUUGUCUCAAUCCAUCCCAGGUAAGGUAUUUCAGCUCCAUUUGCUGCAGUCAAUGUGAGGUCAGGUGAGUCCAGGAUUUCUGAAACAUCUCUCAGUCUGAAGCUCGGUAAGUACUCCCCUUUCCAUUUUUCAUCAAUGACUGACACCUGGGACCCUGUGUCCCAUAAAGCUUGGAGUUGGUGACCAUUCAGAUAGCAUUUAACAAGACACUGCCUGCCAACUAGUGAGGUGAUUUUGGACAAGUUGACAACUGGAGCUAUUGGUGGCAAGUAGUGUGCACUUUUGUCUUUGCAGGGAGACUUUCCAUUACCCUUGUCAGUUAUCAGGUGAGUGCAUUUCUUUUUGUGUUCAGUCCAAUGUUGUUGUUGACAUGCUCUGGAACAAU
ensembl:lncRNA